rnacentral:rRNA from 1 species
GGACUACUGGGGUAUCUAAUCCCUUUUGCUCCCCACGCUUUCGUGCCUGAGUGUCAGCAAUUGUCCAGGUAGCCGCCUUCGCCUCUGGUGUUCCUCACGAUAUCUACGCAUUUCACUGCUACACCGUGAAUUCCGCUACCCUCUCCAAUGCUCUAGCCAAAUAGUUUGAGGUGCAAUUCCAGGGUUGAGCCCUGGGCUUUCACGCCUCACACACUUGGCCACCUGCGCACCCUUUACGCCCAGUGAAUCCGAAUAACGCUUGCAGUCUCUGUAUUACCGCGGCUGCUGGCAC